GGUGCACAUGAUGGUUAAAUAGCGAUCAAAGUAUGAAAAAGCAUGAUUCCAGCUUUAUAAAAUUCUGAUGCACC
ensembl:snoRNA